UGUCUGACCUCUGAGCGCAGCCGAGGGAGAGCAGGAGGACUAGAAGGGUGAGAUAGGUGUUGGCCGACUGUCCCAUACUGCAAAGGCAAGAAGACAGCUUUAGAUCAUUAUCUGUCUUUAUCAGAUAGAACAGCUGAAGAGAAAUGUCGGGAGGAGAGAGAAGGGGAUGACAGGCAGCGAAGGACUGAGGUUAAAGGGAAAGACAAAGCUGCAUCGCUUCCUGCCCGUCUUCUGUGUUACACUCUGGUGAAAUGGGUCAUUGUCGGCGUGGCGUUUGACCUUGGAGCUGUUGGGUAGAAGAAAACAAUGAGAGAAGGAACAUCAGUAUAAAAGGAAGAGGAGCAGCCUGAGCUCAGCAGCUGUCCUGAAACAGCAUCACUUUGCCAUCAUGUUGUUGCUGGGAGUGUGUCUGACCCUCUGCGGCCUCCUGACGCUGAGCCCAGCCAGUCCCGUUAACUCCUCCUCCACGUCCAGGAAUAUGGGCCACUGCGAGUACAUGAAGCACCACAACAAAUACAAGUCUGGAGAAUACAUCCCAGAGUGUGACCAAAACGGGAACUUCCUCCCGCGGCAGUGCUGCACAUAUACAGGCUACUGCUGGUGCGUCAGCAUCUACACCGGAGAUAUGGUAUACAACACCAAGGCACUUAUUGGGGAUUUCCAUUACGAGUGUGGAAAGGAAUACUACUGUCCUCUUGGCUGGUCCAUGUACGGCGAGAAAUGUAUCAUGGUCAUCAAUCACGAAAAGACGUGGCUGAAGCUGAGAGUUACUGUCUGUUUGAGGGAGGAAACCUGGCAUCGGUCCACAGUGAUCUGGAGAACCACUUCAUCGAGGCUCUGACCAAAGACAAGAACUACGACUUCCCGGAAACCUGGCUCGGUGGAUAUGAUGCCAUACAGACCUGCAUGUGGUUCUGGAGUGACGGCACCAAGUUUAAUUAUGAAAACUGGUUCAUGGAUUAUUAUAUGGAGAGAAAAGAGCACUGCCUGAAGAUGAACUAUGGAC